GACGAACGCUGGCGGCGCGCUUAACACAUGCAAGUCGAACGGAAAGGCCUGCUUUCCCUUGUGGAUUGCGGGUACUCGAGUGGCGAACGGGUGAGUAACACGUGAGUGAUCUGCCCCCAACUUGGGAAUAAGCCUGGGAAACUGGGUCUAAUUCCCGAUAGGACUGAAGGGUGGUGCCUGUGGUGGAAAACGAUUUUCUAGUGGUUGGGGAUGAGCUCGCGGCCUAUCAGCUUGUUGGUGGGGUAAUGGCCUACCAAGGCGGCGACGGGUAGCCGGCCUGAGAGGGUGGACGGCCACAUUGGGACUGGGAUACGGCCCAGACUCCUACGAGAGGCAGCAGUGGGGAAUAUUGCACAAUGGGCGGAAGCCUGAUGCAGCGACGCCGCGUGGGGGAUGACGGCCUUCGGGUUGUAAACUCCUUUCGACCGCGAGGAAGCCACCUGGUUGGAAGGGUGGUGACGGUAGUGGUAGAAGAAGCACCGGCUAACUACGUG
rnacentral:rRNA from 1 species